rnacentral:rRNA from 1 species
UACGAAGGGGGCGAGCGUUGUUCGGAUUUACUGGGCGUAAAGGGCGCCGUAGGCGGCGGGUCAAGUCGAGUGUGAAAGCCCCGGGCUCAACCUGGGAAUUGCGCUCGAGACUGGUCUGCUUGAGUUCGGGAGAGGAGAGUGGAAUUCCCAGUGUAGAGGUGAAAUUCGUAGAUAUUGGGAAGAACACCGGUGGCGAAGGCGGCUCUCUGGACCGAGACUGACGCUGAGGCGCGAAAGCGUGGGGAGCAAACAGG